AGUGAACGCUGGCGGCAGGCCUAACACAUGCAAGUCGAACGAGUGGCGGACGGGUGAGUAAUGCCUGGGAAUCUGCCUGAUGGAGGGGGAUAACUACUGGAAACGUAAGCUAAUACCGCAUACCAUCGGAUGUGCCCAUAUGGGAUUAGCUUGUUGGUGGGGUAAAGGCUCACCAAGGCGACGAUCCCUAGCUGGUCUGAGAGGAUGACCAGCCACACUGGAACUGAGACACGGUCCAGACUCCUACGGGAGGCAGCAGUGGGGAAUAUUGCACAAUGGGCGCAAGUCUGAUGCAGCCAUGCCGCGUGUAUGAAGAAGGCCUUCGGGUUGUAAAGUACUUUUGGUGGGAAGGCAUUACCCGAAGAAGAAGCACCGGCUAACUCCGUGCCAGCAGCCGCGGUAAUUC
rnacentral:rRNA from 1 species